CCUACGGGUGGCAGCAGUGGGGGAUAUUGCACAAUGGGGGAAACCCUGAUGCAGCGACGCCGCGUGGGUGAAGAAGCGCCUCGGCGCGUAAAGCUCUGUCAGCAGGGAAGAAAAUGACGGUACCUGAAGAAGAAGCCCCGGCUAACUACGUGCCAGCAGCCGCGGUAAUACGUAGGGGGCAAGCGUUAUCCGGAUUUACUGGGUGUAAAGGGGGCGCAGACGGCGAUGCAAGCCAGGAGUGAAAGCCCGGGGCCCAACCCCGGGACUGCUCUUGGAACUGCGUGGCUAGAGUGCAGGAGGGGCAGGCGGAAUUCCUGGUGUAGCGGUGAAAUGCGUAGAUAUCAGGAGGAACACCGGUGGCGAAGGCGGCCUGCUGGACUGCAACUGACGCUGAAGCACGAAAGCGUGGGUAUCGAACAGGAUUAGAUACCCUAGUAGUC
rnacentral:rRNA from 1 species